rnacentral:rRNA from 1 species
AAAUGAAUAGACGGGGACCCGCACAAGCGGUGGAGCAUGUGGUUUAAUUCGAAGCAACGCGAAGAACCUUACCAGGCCUUGACAUCCGGAUGGCCGUCCCGUAACGGGGGCUUUUCUUCGGAACAUCCGAGACAGGUGGUGCAUGGUUGUCGUCAGCUCGUGUCGUGAGAUGUUGGGUUAAGUCCCGCAACGAGCGCAACCCUUGUCUUCAGUAGCCAGCAUUUAGGAUGGGAACUCUGGAGAGACUGCCGGGGAUAACCCGGAGGAAGGCGGGGAUGACGUCAAAUCAUCAUGCCCCUUAUGGCCUGGGCUACACACGUGCUACAAUGGCAGCAACAAAGGGAAGCAGCCCUGUGAAGGUGAGCGAACCCCAAAAAAGCUGUCCCAGUUCGGAUUGUAGUCUGCAACCCGACUACAUGAAGCUGGAAUCGCUAGUAAUCGCAGAUCAGAAUGCUGCGGUGAAUACGUUCCCGGGUCUUGUACACACCGCCCGU